GAUGAACGCUAGCUACAGGCUUAACACAUGCAAGUCGAGGGGUAACGAGAGGAAAGCUUGCUUUCCUUGUCGACGACCGGCGCACGGGUGAGUAACGCGUAUCCAACCUGCCCCCAACUAGGGAAUAACCUUGCGAAAGUAAGACUAAUACCCUAUAAUUUCCUCAGAUGACAUCUGACGAGGAAUAAAGAUUUAUCGGUUGUGGAUGGGGAUGCGUCUGAUUAGCUUGUUGGCGGGGUAACGGCCCACCAAGGCAACGAUCAGUAGGGGUUCUGAGAGGAAAGUCCCCCACAUUGGAACUGAGACACGGUCCAAACUCCUACGGGAGGCAGCAGUGAGGAAUAUUGGUCAAUGGGCGGAAGCCUGAACCAGCCAAGUAGCGUGCAGGGGGACGGCCCUAUGGGUUGUAAACUGCUUUUAUACAGGAAUAAAGUUAGCCACGUGUGGUUAUUUGUAGGUACUGUAUGAAUAAGGACCGGCUAAUUCCGUGCCAGCCGCCGCGGUAA
rnacentral:rRNA from 1 species